GAAAGAUUCAUCGGAAGAGGAUGGGCAUGCGGCGCAUUAGCUAGACGGCGGGGUAACGGCCCACCGUGGCGACGAUGCGUAGGGGUUCUGAGAGGAAGGUCCCCCACACUGGUACUGAGACACGGACCAGACUCCUACGGGAGGCAGCAGUGAGGAAUAUUGGUCAAUGGGAGAGAUCCUGAACCAGCCAAGCCGCGUGAGGGAAGACGGCCCUAUGGGUUGUAAACCUCUUUUGUCGAAGAACAAAACCCGGGACGUGUCCCGGACUGCGUGUAUCCGAAGAAAAAGCAUCGGCUAACUCCGUGCCAGCAGCCGCGGUAAUACGGAGGAUGCGAGCGUUAUCCGGAUUUAUUGGGUUUAAAGGGUGCGUAGGCGGUCCGUUAAGUCAGCGGUAAAAUUGCGGGGCUCAACCCCGUCGAGCCGUUGAAACUGGCAGACUUGAGUUGGCGAGAAGUACGCGGAAUGCGCGGUGUAGCGGUGAAAUGCAUAGAUAUCGCGCAGAACUCCGAUUGCGAAGGCAGCGUACCGGCGCCAGACUGACGCUGAGGCACGAAAGCGUGGGGAUCGAACAGGAUUAGAUACCCUGGUAGUCCACGCAGUAAACGAUGAAUGCUGGUUGUCCGG
rnacentral:rRNA from 1 species